rnacentral:rRNA from 1 species
UACGAAGGGUGCAAGCGUUACUCGGAAUUACUGGGCGUAAAGCGUGCGUAGGUGGUUUGUUAAGUCUGAUGUGAAAGCCCUGGGCUCAACCUGGGAAUUGCAUUGGAUACUGGCAGGCUAGAGUGCGGUAGAGGGUGGUGGAAUUCCCGGUGUAGCAGUGAAAUGCGUAGAGAUCGGGAGGAACACCAGUGGCGAAGGUGACUACCUGGACCAGCACUGACACUGAGGCACGAAAGCGUGGGGAGCAACCAGG